UGAACUUCCCCUGGCACCCAGCACCGUUCUCAACCUCUCCUCACUGCGCUUAUCCUUCAGGUGAAACGAAAAACCAUUCCCUGCCAUCAAGUUAUUCUGCCUACUGCCUAAGUCAGGGGGUCUCCCCACCUCUGCCCCCAGGUCAGCUGUGGCCAGCCAAGUGCUCUUCAAAGUCAUACCUGGGGUGGACACCGUGGUUUCCAGCCCUGCCCUCAGUGCCUAGAACUGAGGAGUAAAUGAACCAACUUUGCCCUUUGACCUCAGGAAAGCCAUCCAACAUUGUGGCUACCAAGAGAGCCAAGUCCUGCCUAAUACAGCCAAGCUCUGCUUAACGAUGGGGAAAAUGAGAAGAACAUUAUCAGGAGAUCUUGUCAUGAGACCAUCAGAGAUUGCACACUAAGACAGUGCCGUGUGGUCUGGUCUCAACCCAAGGCCCAAAGAUCCUUCACCCGCAGAGGUGACCCUCAGCACACCACUCCGAGAGGUUUGGAUCGCCUUUCCUGUGAAUUUCCGAUGUCAACUUCCAAGUCGUGAUUUAAAUCUUGGCUUCUGGCCGUCUUCAAUUCAGAUAUUAGCAAACUCAAGCUGGAAUGCUGCAGUAGGAACCUGAAACCGGGCCAAUGGACUCAGAGAGCCAGUUCGAUGAAGUUUUCCCUAACAAAGUUACUGAGUCCUUUCUCACAGAUUUUAAGUACGCAGGAAUGGCUCUUCCAAACAGUCCAGGUGAAUUGCUGAGGCAAAGAAAUGGGCUAGAUCAGGUGUAGGUGGGGCCUGCAGGCAGCUGCCGGAAGCGUGGGAAGUGGAAAGAGGUCCAUAGCCUCCCUGUGCAGUGAACGGUUCUUUUCUUCACAGUCUCAAUUUCCUGCCCUUGCCACGCCUUGGCCAUCAGAAGGACACCAUGGUGGCCACACCCAGUCCAUCAGACAGCUCAGGGGGCAGUGGAGACUGAGUCAAAGCCUGCAGCUAAACAGCCAGUGGGGACUUGGCACACGUGGGCAUGGCCGCCUGUGCCUGGCUAACUGUUUGAGGCCUGUCUUGCCUUCAUGUUACAUAAUGUGGUUUUUCGUUUGUUUGUUUUUAAUCAGAAAGCUAUAAUAGGCUUUUGGGAGACCGGAGAUCAGCUGCUAAAUCAGCCUUCCUAAGCACGUGACAGGCAUCACUCUCCAGAUAAAUCAGGUCACUUGCAGAAGGUUGGAGGUCGGCAGAGACUCCAUUUACUCCACAAAUCAUCCCGCCCUGUCCUCCGAGGACUGCAUUCCCAGCCUUCCCAGGGACAUCUGUGCAAUGAAUUUAUGGACUCAACUUCCAGCUCCAAGGGGUGGCAGCUUCGAUUAAGGAAAGCGAUAACGUUUGCCGUCAAAACAGAGCCUGGUGGAUGGGGUAGAUUCCUGCCUCUCUUCCUGCAGUCCUUCCACAGCUUCUUAAGUACAGAGGUUUGGGACCCAGGCAGCAAGGGAACAAGCCGCCCCUCUGACUGGGUUCAGUGGCUUCUGACCUUCCCACUUGGUUAACCCAACCAAGCAGCAGAUGAGAGAUAGCUAAUGAGAAUUCAAAAGAACGGGUUGCUGCACCCCAUCCGAAGGAGACAGGGCUCAGUUCUAUCACGCCUGUGGGAUCAGUAAGCCACCAGGUGUAUUUUCUCAGCUCUUCUCCGACCCCUACCCACACACUGACCCUCCCAAUACGGGUAGGAUCCACAGGACCAUCGCACGAAGUUUUAGCUGCCCCAAAUGGUGAGAUUGAGUUUUGGACUGUCCUCAGUGGUGCUCUUUAAAAAGCCAGUGUGGCCGGGCGGUGGUGGCGCACGCCUUUAAUCCCAGCACUCGGGAGGCAGAGCCAGGAGGAUCUCUGUGAGUUCAAGGCCAGCCUGGACUACCAAGUGAGUUCCAGGAAAGGCGCAAAGCUACACAGAGAAACCCUGUCUCGAAAAAUCCAAAAAAAAAAGCCAGUGUGGGGGUUGGGAAUGCAAGGCAGUGGUAGAGUCCUUGCCUCUCCUGCCGAGGCUCUGGGUUCCAGCCCAGCACCACAAAACAAAACAACUUAACUCCUGUAAUCUUAACACUCCAGAGGUGGAGGCAGGAGGAUCAGGGAUUCAAGGUCAGCCUCGGCUACAUAAGGAGUGUAAAAUCAACCUGGGCUCCCUGAGAGCCUGCCUCAAACAAAACACCACAACAAGCACCCAGCAUUUCAGACCAUCAGACCGGAGGCUUCCUUGCUUGGAGAGCUCCCUCCAGCCUUCUCUGUUGCUUCCUUAAGGUAAUGGGCUCUGCAGGGAGGGAGAGGUGUGGGUGACAGGCAUCCAGGCCUGCCAGGAUGCCAGCCUCCGACCCUCGCAGCCAGCCCUCCGCACCUACCUACCUGCAUGCCACAGAUGCGCACACCCAGGCAGGCUGAAGUACUCUGCGCACACUUCUUCAUGUGACGGGCCUUCUUCUCCUCAGAUGCAUCGUCCCCGUGCUGCCGGGUCCCCAUCUUUAGAUCCAAGAUGCAGGGCUGCUUGUAUUGUGACACCACAUUUUCCAAGAGCAAGAACCCUGGAGGCACUAAGUCAAGGAAAGCUCUGGGGUCAUCAGUCGGAGUACCUGAGGUUCCUGUUCGCUGCUCCCUCCCCUUUCCAGCCUUACCCAGGAACCUGGCUAUUAAGAAUGCAAGAUAUUCACUGGCA